GGGGUGUUAGCUCAGCGGUAGAGCAAUUAACUGCAGAUCAAUAGGUCUUCGGUUCAAAUCCGGAACGCCUCU
rnacentral:tRNA from 1 species